rnacentral:rRNA from 1 species
AACGAACGCUGGCGGCAUGCCUAACACAUGCAAGUCGAACGAAGCCUUCGGGCUUAGUGGCGCACGGGUGCGUAACGCGUGGGAAUCUGCCCUUUGGUUCGGAAUAACAGUUGGAAACGACUGCUAAUACCGGAUGAUGACGAAAGUCCAAAGAUUUAUCGCCAGAGGAUGAGCCCGCGUAGGAUUAGCUAGUUGGGGUGGUAAAGGCGCACCAAGGCGACGAUCCUUAGCUGGGCUGAGAGGAUGAUCAGCCACACUGGGACUGAGACGCGGGCCAGGCUCCUACGGGAGGCAGCAGUGGGGAAUAUUGGACAAUGGGCGAAAGCCUGAUCCAGCAAUGCCGCGUGAGUGAUGAAGGCCCUAGGGUUGUAAAGCUCUUUUACCCGGGAUGAUAAUAACAGUACCGGGAGAAUAAGCCCCGGCUAACUCCGUGCCAGCCGCCGCCGUAA